rnacentral:rRNA from 1 species
GAUGAACGCUAGCUACAGGCUUAACACAUGCAAGUCGCGGGGCAGCAUGGGGGUUGCUUGCACUCCCCGAUGGCGACCGGCGCACGGGUGAGUAACGCGUAUCCAACCUGCCCUUCACCACGGGAUAACCCGGCGAAAGUCGGACUAAUACCGUAUGUUGUCCAUUGACGGCAUCCGAUUUGGACGAAAGGUUUGGCGGUGAAGGAUGGGGAUGCGUCCGAUUAGCUGGACGGCGGGGUGACGGCCCACCGUGGCGACGAUCGGUAGGGGUUCUGAGAGGAAGGUCCCCCACGCUGGAACUGAGACACGGUCCAGACUCCUACGGGAGGCAGCAGUGAGGAAUAUUGGUCAAUGGGCGUAAGCCUGAACCAGCCAAGUAGCGUGCAGGAUGACGGCCCUAUGGGUUGUAAACUGCUUUUAUGCGGGGAUAAAGUGGCCCACGUGUGGGUUUUUGCAGGUACCGCAUGAAUAAGGACCGGCUAAUUCCGUG